AGCGAAAGCAGUGGUGUUUACGACUCACUGAUCACACCAGUUACAGAUUUCUUUUUUCCUUCUCUGCUCCCACUGCUUCAUGUGACUAUUA
rnacentral:sRNA from 1 species